rnacentral:rRNA from 1 species
UACAGAGGUGGCAAGCGUUGUUCGGAAUUACUGGGCGUAAAGGGCGCGUAGGCGGCCUUCUAAGUCAGACGUGAAAUCCCCCGGCUUAACCUGGGAACUGCGUCUGAUACUGGAGGGCUUGAGUGCGGGAGAGGGAUGUGGAAUUCCAGGUGUAGCGGUGGAAUGCGCAGAUAUCAGGAGGAACACCGAUGGCGAAGGCAGGUCUCUGGGCAUUAACUGACGCUGAGGAGCGAAAGCAUGGGGAGCGAACAGG